rnacentral:lncRNA from 13 species
UGCUAAGAGGUGGUCAGGUGGAAUGCAAGUCCAGGCAGGUGCUAGCUUGAGAGCCACUGCUCUAUCAAGCCCUUCUCAGGCUUCCACUCAGGCAAAGGGAGGAGGAAGGACCCUCGGACAGGAGCAGCGUGAGCAAAGAUUGCCAGUUUAACAGGGCACUUGGACCAGUGCGUUUUGUGUGGAGUGUGCGGAGUGCUGCUGUGCUGUGGCCCCGGUUGAAGCGGCCCCGCCAGCCGAAACAGCUGCGCUGGCGUCCCAUGUCUCUCCUACACCUGGUUUUGGAUUUUUGUCCUUGUUUAAUCUUGGCUGGAGUGAAGUGGCACCAUCUUAGCUCACUGCAACCUCUGCCUCUCAGAUUCAGGCCAUCCUCCCUAGGGACUGGAGGUGAGUGCCACCACACCUGGCUAAUUUUUGUAUUUUGAGUAGUGAUGGGGUCUCCAGCUUCAGACCUAAAGUGAUCUAUCUGCCUCAGCCUCACAAAGUUCUGAGGUUACAGGUGUGAGCCACCGUGUCUGGUUAGCUCUUGACUUUUGGUAGCUGUUGUAUUAUUUUAAUCUUUAGUAAAUAAAUGCAAUCUGAAAUGUAUAGUUCA